AUCCAGAUGACGAGUCCCAAGCAGGGCGAAAUGCGCAUCCUCGUUGGAU
rfam:Trichobilharzia regenti genome assembly, scaffold: TRE_scaffold0017254